rnacentral:rRNA from 1 species
UUGACAUACUAAGAACUUUCCAGAGAUGGAUUGGUGCCUUCGGGAACUUUAGAUACAGGUGCUGCAUGGCUGUCGUCAGCUCGUGUCGUGAGAUGUUGGGUUAAGUCCCGCAACGAGCGCAACCCUUUUCCUUAUUUGCCAGCGGGUCAUGCCGGGAACUUUAAGGAUACUGCCAGUGACAAACUGGAGGAAGGCGGGGAUGACGUCAAGUCAUCAUGGCCCUUACGGCCAGGGCUACACACGUGCUACAAUGGUCGGUACAAAGGGUUGCUACCUCGCGAGAGGAUGCUAAUCUCAAAAAGCCGAUCGUAGUCCGGAUCGCAGUCUGCAACUCGACUGCGUGAAGUCGGAAUCGCUAGUAAUCGCGGAUCAGAAUGCCGCGGUGAAUACGUUCCCGGGCCUUGUACACACCGCCCGUCACACCAUGGGAGUUUGUUGCACCAGAAGUAGGUAGUCUAACCGCAAGGAGGACGCUUACCACGGUGUGGCCGAUGACUGGGGUGAAGUCGUAACAAGGUAGGCGUAGAUGA